rnacentral:lncRNA from 1 species
UAUUUUAAUACUAAAUAAUCUAUGCCAAUGAAAGUUAUCGCCGGGUUGUGUCUACAUUCUAAGUUUGAACUUUAUUUUUUUUAAGUUUAAUUUUUGUGCAAGAAUUUGUUCGUUGAGUCUCGUUGGUUAAUGUAGGUUUGCUUGACGAAAGUUCGUCAACAUUGUCAUCAAGUAAAGUAUGGUUGCCCGAUAGAAUCAAAAUUUCUCCGAGUAAACCUUCAAGUAACAGCUUUUGUGCGACAAACUUUGCCCGACGGUUUCCGUGGCCCAAACUUAGGCGACGAAACCCUGUUUUACAUGACGAAUAAAGUUUGUUUGGCAAGUGGCCUUUCUUCGUAGUGUCUUUUCAGCUUGUACAUUUGAAGAAUAUUUUUCUUUUGGUAUUUUCUCUAACCUUUACAUGAAUACAAAAAACUAUUAUCAACUCCCAAUAAACUCCGCACGUUCAAAGAUCAAGUUCUGCUCAAAUAAUGUUUUUGAAACUGAAGUAACAUUACUUCAAACUUGACAAAUAACCCUUCGAAUGAUGGCUUACUAUCAUUACGGGCAGUCACUUAUCUAGCGGACUUAUUCAUCGGGGGACUCUACAAUUAUGUCAAAAAAUAAAUGUCAAAUGUUAAUUUGACGGCUGACAUGGCAAUGUCAGAAUUUUCUUUUUCCAACCGAUAUAUCUUUUUGUUAUAAAUGAUAUUUGUAGGACUUAUUUUAAAAAGAAAUCAAUUAAAAUAAUUUUUCAAAAAUCUAUAAUUAGUACAAUAAUGGGACCCACACACUAAAAUAAUUAAAAGUUGUUUAACAUCACCUUUUUCUUUGACCAUCUCUAAAUGAGAUGUCAAAUCCUAAGUGGAAUGCAAUGUAA